GCGGGAAUAGUUCAACGGUAGAGCGCAAGCUUCCCAAGCUUGAAGUUGCGGGUUCGAAUCCCGUUUCCCGCUCCA
rnacentral:tRNA from 2 species